GACGUAGGGCGCGAGCGUUGUCCGGAUUUAUUGGGCGUAAAGAGCUCGUAGGUGGUUUGUCGCGUUGUCCGUGAAAACUCACAGCUCAACUGUGGGCGUGCGGGCGAUACGGGCAGACUGGAGUACUGCAGGGGAGACUGGAAGUUCCUGGUGUAGCGGUGGAAUGCGCAGAUAUCAGGAGGAACACCGGUGGCGAAGGCGGGGUCUCUGGGCAGUAACUGACGCUGGAGGAGCGAAAGCGUGGGGAGCGAACAGG
rnacentral:rRNA from 1 species